rnacentral:rRNA from 1 species
UUUUUAAUUGGGAUCUUGUAUGAAUGAUUGGACAAGGGAAAAACUGUCUUUAUAUUAAAACUUGAAUUUAACUUUUAAGUGAAAAGGCUUAGAUGCACUAAGGGGACGAUAAGACCCUAUAAAACUUUACAUUUGUGUUAAAUUUUAUGGAAUUUGAAGGUAAUAAUUAUUGGAUUUAACUUUCUUGUUAUGUUGGGGAGACAGAGGCUAUAAUUAUAUAUAACUGCUUUUUUAAAAAACAAUAAUAGGUGGAAGAAGUUUGAAGAUCCUUUAUUGAGAUUAUAAGAUUAAGUUACUUUAGGGAUAACAGCGUUAUUUUUUUUGAGAGUUCAUAUUGAAAAAAGAGAUUGCGACCUCGAUGUUGAAUUAAAAUAUCUUUAUAAUGCAGGUGUUAUAAAAGAAGGUCUGUUCGACCUUUAAUUUUUU